CCUACGGGGCGCUGCAGUGAGGAAUAUUGGUCAAUGGGCGGAAGCCUGAACCAGCCAAGUAGCGUGCAGGAUGACGGCCCUACGGGUUGUAAACUGCUUUUAUACGGGAAUAACGCGCCUUACGUGUAGGGCUUUGCAUGUACCGUAUGAAUAAGGACCGGCUAAUUCCGUGCCAGCAGCCGCGGUAAUACGGAAGGUCCGGGCGUUAUCCGGAUUUAGUGGGUUUAAAGGGAGCGUAGGCCGCAUGUCAAGCGUGCUGUGAAAUGUUCGGGCUCAACCCGGGCCUUGAAGCGCGCACGGGCGUGAUUGAGUCCGCGGAAAGCAGGCGGAAUGCGGCGUGUAGCGGUGAAAUGCUUAGAUAUGACGAAGAACGCCGAUUGCGAAGGCAGCUUGCUGCAGCGGAACUGACGCUGAUGCUCGAAAGCGCGGGUAUCGAACAGGAUUAGAUACCCGUGUAGUC
rnacentral:rRNA from 1 species